AACUCGACUACAUGAAGCUGGAAUCGCUAGUAAUCGCGAAUCAGAAUGUCGCGGUGAAUACGUUCCCGGGUCUUGUACACACCGCCCGUCACACCAUGGGAGUCAGUAACGCCCGAAGUCAGUGACCCAACCGGAACCGGAGGGAGCUGCCGAAGGUGGGACCGAUAACUGGGGUGAAGUCGUAACAAGGUAUC
rnacentral:rRNA from 1 species